AGGGUGGUAGUCAUUGUGGCAUGAAACCUUAGAGUUCUAAGGAACAGGAAUGAUGGUGGUCAUCUUAAAACAUGUGGGGAUUAAAGACUUGGACCCUAACCCUGGGACAAGGAGAGGUUGAACAUUACAGACUGGGACCCUAACCCUGGGACAAGGAGAGGUUGAACAUUACAGACUGGGACCCUAACCCUGGGACAAGGAGAGGUUGAACAUUACAGACUGGGACCCUAACCCUGGGACAAGGAGAGGUUGAACAUUACAGACUGGGACCCUAACCCUGGGACAAGGAGAGGUUGAACAUUACAGACUGGGACCCUAACCCUGGGACAAGGAGAGGUUGAACAUUACAGACUGGGACCCUAACCCUGGGACAAGGAGAGGUUGAACAUUACAGACUGGGACCCUAACCCUGGGACAAGGAGAGGUUGAACAUUACAGACUGGGACCCUAACCCUGGGACAAGGAGAGGUUGAACAUUACAGACUGGGACCCUAACCCUGGGACAAGGAGAGGUUGAACAUU